rnacentral:lncRNA from 1 species
CUAAUUUCAUGAGCUCAAGUGGUGCCUCAGGAGUUCUUCCCACAAUGAAGGUUCCAGAACUUUGGAGGGUUCCCCCUCCCCCUGAUUGGUUUGGGAAACCAGGAUUUGGAACUAACAGAUUCACUUUGUGAUGGCCCCAGCUCGAGUUGAGAAACUGAGUGAGACCACCUCAGACUCCCAGGCUGGUGACUUCAUUAUACAUUCCCGGACGCCAGGAAGCCUCGGGGAAGCCUCUCUUCCGCCCAGCCUGGAACAAUGGCUGGGAAAUCAGAAAAGCCGUGUGAGCGGGCCCUGGACCAGAUCAGGCCAGGGAAUUAGGUGGGAGAGGGGGAGUCACAUGUCAAAGCCCUGAUUGCCACCCUGGUCAUGUCCAGCCUUGACAGGGCACAAAAAUGCCCUCUGUGUGCCCGACACAGCUGGGCUGGGGGCUGGUUCCCCUCGGCAGCUCCCCAGGGGAGAGGCUGAGAAAGAAACAGCAGGCUGGGCCCAGCAAGGUAGAGAGGUGGGGGUGGGCUUCUAUGGGCCCUGGAGUUUAGGUGACCUCAUUCUGGAAACUCUCAGAGACUCCCAUCGUAAGAGGAGACCAGAGCAUGCCCCGUGUGGGAUGGCUUAUGGGGUUAGAUCAUGUCAAGGGCUCACUAGUCCUUACUAAAAUCAAAGUUAGGCAUUAACAGACUUAUGCCAAGUGCCCUGCUCUGCAGACUGGGGGGUGGUCAGAAAAUUAGGCCUUAACACAGUGGACACAAUGUAACCAUUGUUUAUAAAUCCAGUCCCUAGGGGCACCUGGGUGGCUCAGUCAGUUAAGCCUCUGCCUUAGGCUCAGGUCAUGAUCCCAGAGUCCUGGGAUUGAGCCCCUCAUCCGGCUCCUGCUCAGCAGGGAACCUGCUUUCCCCUCUCCCUCUGUAUGUCGUUCUGCCUCUUUGUGCUCUCUCUCUCUGGCAAAUACAUAAAUAAAAUCUUAAAAAAAACCAAAAACACCAAAAUAG